rnacentral:rRNA from 1 species
AAUGGGCGCAAGCCUGACCCAGCCAUGCCGCGUGCAGGAUGACGCCCUAUGGGUUGUAAACUGCUUUUAUAUAGGAAGAAAAUACUCUUGCGAGAGAAACUGACGGUACUAUAUGAAUAAGGACCGGCUAACUCCGUGCCAGCAGCCGCGGUAAUACGGAGGGUUCAAGCGUUUUCCGGAUUUAUUGGGUUUAAAGAGUGCGUAGGUGGUUUAUUAAGUCAGUGGUGAAAUCCUGCAGCUCAACUGUAGAACUGCCAUUGAUACUGGUAUACUUGAGUUUGGUUUAGGUAAGCGGAAUUUAUGAUGUAGCGGUGAAAUGCAUAGAUAUCAUAAGGAACACCAAUAGCGAAGGCAGCUUACUGGACCACAACUGACACUGAGGCACGAAAGCGUGGGUAGCGAACAGGAUU